GAUGAACGCUAGCUACAGGCUUAACACAUGCGAGUCGAGGGGAAACGAUGAGAGAGCUUGCUCUCUUAGUCGUCGACCGGCGCACGGGUGAGUAACGCGUAUCCAACCUGCCUCUGACCAAGGGAUAACCCGUCGAAAGUCGGACUAAUACCUUAUGCAGUCGUCGGAAGUCAUCUGAUGACGACGAAAGAUUUCAUCGGUGAGAGAUGGGGAUGCGUCUGAUUAGCUUGUUGGCGGGGUAACGGCCCACCAAGGCGACGAUCAGUAGGGGUUCUGAGAGGAAGGUCCCCCACAUUGGAACUGAGACACGGUCCAAACUCCUACGGGAGGCAGCAGUGAGGAAUAUUGGUCAAUGGGCGUAAGCCUGAACCAGCCAAGUAGCGUGCAGGAUGACGGCCCUAUGGGUUGUAAACUGCUUUUAUGCGGGGAGAAAGUGAGGGACGUGUCCUUCAUUGCAGGUACCGCAUGAAUAAGGACCGGCUAAGUCCGUG
rnacentral:rRNA from 1 species